UGGGGAAUCUUGGACAAUGGGGGCAACCCUGAUCCAGCGAUGCCGCGUGGGUGAAGAAGGCCUUCGGGUUGUAAAGCCCUUUAGGUAGGGAAGAAGUUACUACGAGAGUAGUGAUUGACGGUACCUACAGAAUAAGCACCGGCAAACUCUGUGCCAGCAGCCGCGGUAAUACAGAGGGUGCGAGCGUUAAUCGGAGUUACUGGGCGUAAAGGGCGCGUAGGCGGAUAUUGCAGUGUGAUGUGAAAUCCCUGGGCUUAACCUAGGCAGUGCAUUGCAGACGCAAUAUCUGGAGUAUAUGAGAGGGUGGCGGAAUUUCCGGUGUAGCGGUGAAAUGCGUAGAGAUCGGAAGGAACGUCGAUGGCGAAGGCAGCCACCUGGCAUAAUACUGACGCUGAGGCGC
rnacentral:rRNA from 1 species